rnacentral:rRNA from 1 species
GACGAACGCUGGCGGCGUGCUUAACACAUGCAAGUCGAACGGUAAGGCCCUUCGGGGUACACGAGUGGCGAACGGGUGAGUAACACGUGGGUGAUCUGCCCUGCACUUCGGGAUAAGCCUGGGAAACUGGGUCUAAUACCGGAUAGGACUCCUGGCUUCAUGGUUGGUGGUGGAAAGCUUUUGCGGUGUGGGAUGGGCCCGCGGCCUAUCAGCUUGUUGGUGGGGUGAUGGCCUACCAAGGCGACGACGGGUAGCCGGCCUGAGAGGGUGACCGGCCACACUGGGACUGAGAUACGGCCCAGACUCCUACGGGAGGCAGCAGUGGGGAAUAUUGCACAAUGGGCGCAAGCCUGAUGCAGCGACGCCGCGUGAGGGAUGACUGCCUUCGGGUUGUAAACCUCUUUCAGCACCGACGAAGCGCAAGUGACGGUAGGUGCAGAAGAAGGACCGGCCAACUACGUGCCAGCAGCCGCCGUAA